ensembl:lncRNA
GUCAAAAGAAACAUCAAACAAGACUGCAGAACUGCAGAUCACGUUUCAGCACAAUCAACUACUUCCCUUUUCAGACAGACUCUUACCUUGCAAUCUGGGAGAAUCUUCUGAUCUCUGUUUUAGCAAGAGCAUUCCAGGUUAUCCCAUAUUUGUCCAAAGCUCUGCUAGAUCUACUGCAUCUCCCUUACAUGGAAAGACCCCAACUUCCUAACAAGAGAUGUAGCCACCCCCUGUCCACAGAAACAGUUUUUACUGAGAGUCUCAAUGUUUGAUCCUUAACUUGUUUGUUGGGCUGGAAAUGUGCCACAGGAAAUGAGGAUACGUGUAAAAGAACACAAUAAACCUUCAGAAAUACUGUGCCUGGAGGCUACAGACUUGAGCAUUACCAUCUAUUCUACCCCUCAAGUCUUGAAAACUUUUUUCCUGAGUUCCAAAGGCCCACUACAAGGAGGUAGGCUGCACUCCUGGAGCAAAUUCUGUUACACUUGUUGGUCAGCUGUCCAGCCCCACAAGCGUGCCUAUGCCACAGAGCAGCUAUUUCAUCCAUUUUCCAGUUUUCAGUGCUGCUCAGAAUCACUCCUUGCUGAUAUGAAGCAGAGAUUAAAGACUCCCGAUGCUUUCCUUGCUGCCUGUAGCAGCGCAGUGUUUUAUUGCACCUCGAUUCUGUCUGAACUUCAGGACUGGGAAUGUGAUCUUCUGUGGCUAUCACUUUCCUUCACCUCCAAAGAGCAAGAAAAUUUUUCUUCUUCGUAAGAUACCUCCUCUGGCUUUUUCUUACGCUUUAUUCCUCUUUUUGAGAAGAUCCAGUAACAAGUUUUUGUAUUUGUUCAUUUUGAAAUGUAUCACUUAGGAUCUACAUUCCUUUGCAUCUUUUGCCUAGCAGUUCACCAUCUUCCAUUUCCCUUAUUUGUAGGAUAUCUCCUCAAACAUCAUUAGAGAGCUUGCGAGUAGAUUUCAAGCUGGAGGAAAGGAGGCCAGUUUGGGUAUCAGGGGACAGUCAUUAUGGCAAAAAAAAAAACCACAAUCUAGCCCUUCAGGAAAAUUUCCUGGCAGCUGUUAGACCACCAACGCAUUGGCAGAAGCCUCAUAAAAACACGUCAGCAGUGAUUGAACAGAGCAUUCCUGUGCACGCAAUAGUGAAUGGCGAAAGGGACGCAGCACACUGCCUCCUCGGCCCUUCUAUCUCCCCAUUUUAGGAAGGCAGCUUACUCCAGCAUCACAGUUGUCAAGUCAGCAGUUGGGGCAGAUGGACUUUCCUUUUUCAGCUCCGUAUUUUGCCAAAGCCACGAUCUGGAAUCUACCCGCAGGGAAUGGAUUUCUUUCAAGAAAAGAAAAAAGCCCACAAAAAGCCAACCGUGCUAUUGAGGGAGUAGCAAUUUCUCUGCCCUUCAAUCAACCCCGAAAGAGAUGCUGCAUGCUUUAUCAGAUUUCCUAGCUUUAUUGGUUGCUGUCGCAAUGACUUUCUAAACACAGUUCCAUAAAGCACAGAUCUUGGCAUAGCAGGGAACUACCAUUCACAGUUUCCCAGUGAUGGAGAAAAAAUCUGAAAGACAGCGCUUCACUUAACCCCAGUUAUGAGAGUUGCGAUCGGAUCUGAGUUCUACCACAAUUCGUGAGCCUAAGAAACACCCAGCAACAUAAAACAGCCAUUUGUGGUGGUUUCUGGUGCUAGCAGGAAAAAGGAUACCAGUUCUCCUCUUUCAUUGCCUUCCCUUCAGGGGAGUCCUGAAAAGAGUCCUUUGAAAGAGCUAAAGGAACCAGCACACGCUGAGAUUUUACUGGAGAGCAAAGCUUUGAACACUGAACAGGGACUGUUCAACCACACGUGAGACAAAGGGAAAAAGGCAUGCCUGUUUGUAGGCACGAGUUUAUGUGCACUGUGGGGUCAAAGGGGAUGGCGCAGGUGCCCCCAGGUAUCCCAGUGAAGUUGGAAGCAUAAGUUAAUUCCCUGACAAAUGAGAACUGAAAUCCACCCAUCACCUUUAAAAAGCCUUUACAAAGCAGCUUUUUUACUGGACGUUCCUGGCUAGUGUCACCUGUAAGGACAAUUCCUCCUUACGGAGACAAUGCUGGCUCUGCAAAUUGACUUUAUGCACAGAAAUCUGCUGCUGCAUGUGCACGGGGUGUCACAGCCCAGCCAGCUGCUGGGCAGGGGAGCAGUGCCCGCGGCUCCAGCUGGAAGGCUCACCCUCUAAGAAAGAGAGAAAACAGCAGCCAGCAAAUGUCCCCUCCUUCCCCUAGCACUGCGUUCCAGAUCAGGAGAUGUCACGAGCUGUGUAACUCUCAGUAAUUGUUUGAUUACAUGCAUUAGUGUUAUCUGUUUGUAAAUACAGUGGGUCCGUAAUUCCAAAAAUUGAUUUUAUCCCAUGUGAUUCUAAAGACUGGGAGAAUAUAAAAGAGUAGUGGGUUUAGGGAGGCAAAACAUCCCUCCCAUCAACAUAACAGCUGCUCCUACAGUAACAAUGCAUGAACUGCUUUCAGGUAGGGUCCAGGAUGAAUAAAUGCAGCUACCACUUCGCUGUAGCUCUUCCUCCUUCACUGCAUGCAGGAUUUCCUCCUUGCCAAGCAAAUAAGAACUGCUCUCAACAUCUGUACCCUGCUGCAAGCAGAAGCCUGGAGAGGCUCUGUACAGCUCAUGUUUCAUUCCGCAUUAGCUUCUGCCAUCAUCUGUCAUUCUUCACUGACAGUGCCAACACCAGGCAUUUGUCCCUCAAGGUCCCUUUCUCUCCAUUAUUAAGGUGACUGCCCUUAGGGUCAUACAACAAAGCCAGAAGAAGCCUAGAGGUGUGGAGAACCUCUAUCCUGAGGGCCCUGCUCCUGCCAGCUACACUGGAGCCUGCUGUAUGGAUAGUAAUUUCUCUCCUUCAACCAAAGCUGCUCUGCUGUUGAGCUGGGCUGACUCAGCAUACUGGAAAGUGGGUUCAGGUCCACAGAACUCACAUUUCCAGUUGUAUCAGCAGAUUACAUGUUCCCAUGGAGCUCAGUACAGACAAGGUAUUCAUACUUCUGCAAGAAGAACUGAGGGGAGCCAGGCUUCAUGUCUACAAGCAAGCUAUUUG